rnacentral:lncRNA from 1 species
GGGUGAAAACCACAGCUCGAGGUACUUUUAGAACUGAGACCCGCAGCCCUAAUUCAUGCAUGAGAAUACUGAGGCUCAGAGAGGUAGAGGCGCUUGUCCCCUGUCACAGAGCUAGUUAGAAGGGAAGAGAAAAGAAAUAUUUAAACUGCAGCAUUAGGGCAUGCCAGAGUUCAGGCAGGUAACCACUAACUGGCUGAGCAAACUUAGGUGAGUCAUGUAACUUCUCUGAACUUCAGCUGGAGCCCACUCAAGGACUGAGGGCCCUGAAGCCUCGUCGGCUUUCCUCAGGCACUAAGAGCCAGUGAUGCCAUCUGCACGGCCCUCCUGUGCCCCUGGGUGGGGGCCUGUUUGCUUUCUCAUAUUCUAGGAAUGCUGUGGCCUGUGCACCCACAGCACGACCUCAUACUGGCAACAACCCUGAAAACAGCUGGGAACCUGUUUUGCAGAAAUAAGUGCUCAGGGAUAUGGUGAGUUGCUUCGGGUCAUUCAGUCACGAAUUCAGCAUUUGAAUCCAGGGCUGUCUGAUUCCAAAGCUUGCCCGGCUAGUUUGUAGUACAGCCUUGAACCUAGUGAUAACAAGCGACCCAUGUUUGCUAAACUCUUACAAAAAGGACUUUCAGAGUCCCUUCUUUUCAUGGAGGAAACAGAGGCCCAGAGAGGAAAGAGCCCCACUUUUCCUUUCCUCCUCCGCCUCAGCCACCGCCCCCCAUCUUUGAUUUAGUGACCCUCUGAGGCCACUUUCUUGGCAGGGCUUGCCUUGGGUCCACAACUGUUUUUCUCUGCUCCCCUCCGAGCCCCCAACCAUUUUCUUCCUAAUCCUCCUCAGGAGAACCAUCACUUGGAUUAUCAUGAAACCUGAGAGCGCAAGCGUGAGGCGCAGCCCUUUACAACCAACGGACCAUUUCGUUUCUGCGCAGUUCUGUUUGUUUAAACUCUUUGCUGGCAGGACCCCGGCUCCGGAGCAGGGUUCCGUGGUGUUCUCAGGCAGAUGUGCUGGCUUGCUGCAGGGGCUGCCGAUAAGGAAGAAGGUCUGUGAAAAGCUGAACCUCGCCCGCCCCUCAGAUAACUGUGACCGCCAAGGCUGGUCUUCAUCCCCUGCAGCCCUUCCCCAAAGCUUCAGACCCUCAGCUGACUCUGCCUUCCCCAAUUUCUAAAAUAAAUAUUCCUCCCAAACCUUCCUUCUAGGGGGAACAGGCUGCCAUCUCUCAUAGCCCUCUCUCAGUUCAGAGCCUACUCGCUGGGCAGGGUUGCUC